AUUGAACGCUGGCGGCAUGCCUUACACAUGCAAGUCGAACGGCAGCACGGACUUCGGUCUGGUGGCGAGUGGCGAACGGGUGAGUAAUAUAUCGGAACAUACCCAGUAGUGGGAGAUAACUAUCCGAAAGGAUAGCUAAUACCGCAUACGAUCUGUGGAUGAAAGCAGGGGAUCUUCGGACCUUGUGCUAUUGGAAUGGCCGAUAUCUGAUUAGCUAGUUGGUAGGGUAAAAGCCUACCAAGGCGACGAUCAGUAGCUGGUCUGAGAGGACGACCAGCCACACUGGAACUGAGACACGGUCCAG
rnacentral:rRNA from 1 species